AGCAGCCGCGGUAAUUCCAGCUCCAAUAGCGUAUAUUAAAGUUGUUGCAGUUAAAAAGCUCGUAGUUGAAUUUCGGGAUUGACGUGAUGGUCGUGCCUUAAGGGGUAUGAACUGUUGCUGUUGAUUUCUCACCUUCUGGAGAAACUUGAUGUCCUUAAUUGGGUGUCUUGCGGAUCCAGGACCUUUACCUUGAAAAAAUUAGAGUGUUUAAAGCAGGCAUUUUUGCUCGAAUACAUUAGCAUGGAAUAAUAGAAUAGGACGGCAUGGUUCUAUUUUGUUGGUUUCUAGGAUCACCGUAAUGAUUAAUAGGGAUAGUUGGGGGGCAUUAGUAUUCAAUUGUCAGAGGUGAAAUUCUUGGAUUUAUUGAAGACUAACUACUGCGAAAGCAUUUGCCAAGGAUGUUUUCAUUAAUCAAGAACGAAAGUUAGGGGAUCGAAGACGAUCAGAUACCGUCGUAGUCUUAACCAUAAACUAUGCCGACUAGGAAUCAGACGAUGUUAAUUU
rnacentral:rRNA from 1 species